rnacentral:rRNA from 1 species
UACGGAGGGGACUAGCGUUGUUCGGAAUUACUGGGCGUAAAGCGCACGUAGGCGGAUCUGUAAGUCAGGGGUGAAAUCCCGGGGCUCAACCUCGGAACUGCCUUUGAUACUGCAAAUCUCGAGUCCGGAAGAGGUGAGUGGAAUUCCUAGUGUAGAGGUGAAAUUCGUAGAUAUUAGGAAGAACACCAGUGGCGAAGGCGGCUCACUGGCCCGUUACCGACGCUCAGGCGCGACAGCGUGGGGAGCAAACAGG